GAAGGAUCAAGAAUACUUUUGGAUUUACAUUCAUUUGUGGCAAGCAUCUUGACGUGGCCAAGAUGAGAGAUCUCCACUACGACUAUGUCGUCUUCGUCAACAGGAAGAGGUUGUCUCCAUGGCUCCCCAUCAAUCCUCAUGUGUCGUUGCAUAGGGCACGUUUAGUGUGUAGUUUGAAGACUACUGUACAGGAAAGGAAAGGAAAAAGAUAAGUAACCUGUGCAAGGCGUGUCCCAUGUCCAUUCGGGGCGAGUAAAACUAACCCAUGCCAAGCAUCUUUGAACCCUACUAUCUCGAGUAACCCGUCGUCCACAUAAGGCGAAGUGAACUCCCUCUGUCCAUUAGUUUGAGGAUGAUAAAACUAGUCGUUUUCAAGUAAACAAACAAGGAAAAAAUUGAAGGACUCUGCUCACAUCACGUCGCCUUCUUGGGUUAGGAAUCCCCCACGGGUUCAGUCCUCCAGAGAAGCUUGGUAGAUUAAGGCACACAAUAGAACGGAUGCUGCAGAGCAAGCACUUGGCGUCUCAAUGCAAAAACAACAACAUUCAAGAAUGGGCGAGUUCGAUCAUUACCUUGUAGGAAUCGGGAGGUCUAUCCACUCGCCGUGCUUUCUCAUGAUCUUAGCUCUGCAGAUCUGACCAAUAUUCCUGCGCGAGAGGUGCCUGGGUUAGCAAACUGUGACGCAGUACGAGCUCCCAAUUAGAAUGGAGUGAAACACGAGAUGAAAAGAACCUCGAGGAUGGGUGAAUUAGAGGAGCACAAAACCACCCUUGCGUGCACCCGAGCUUUGCAUAUGUGCUCUAAGAUGCAAGAAAGCAACCCACCCCUCUUAUUUGUGUUGGACAAAAAAACAAAUUUUCAUUUCGAAAGUUGGAAUCACCAUUACCUGAUUAACCAGCUGGUUCUUGAACUUGUCUGGGUUGAGUUUGCGCUCCGAGUGAAACGCAUAAGAGACUUGCGCAUCCAUUCCUACAGAGACAGAUGAAAUGGAGUCAGACUGUAUUAUGGAAGCAAACUGAAACAAAUGAGAGCACUAACCCAUGCUGAAAUAGUUCCAAAACCCUCCUUGGAAUGUGUCGCCGCCUUCCUGAAACAAAUACUAUGAUGAGGUGCUGCUGCAGUUUAUGACGAGUUUCCUGAUGAAUGAAGAGGCUUACUAGAUUGAGGUCGUCUGUUGGGAGCACGCGCUGGAUCGCGUGCAACGAGUGGGGCAGCUCAAGAGGUGUGAUGGGCUCGCAUUCGUGCUCUUGUUGUGUCUUCAUCCGCAGCAUUAUGUGCCAACUGGAAACAGACCUUGUGAAUUUUCAAGAAUUAUGAGAUGUUAAAACCGAGUUUGAAUUCAUACUCACCUGUCCAUUGCCA